rnacentral:rRNA from 1 species
UUUCGCAAUGCCCGAAAGGGUGACGAAGCGACGCCGCGUGGGUGAGGAAGGCCCUCGGGUUGUAAAGCCCUGUCAGGAGUUAAGAAAUGUAGGUACGCUAAUAUCGUAUCUAUUUGACAAAGGCUCCAAAGGAAGCCACGGCUAACUCUGUGCCAGCAGCCGCGGUAAUACAGAGGUGGCAAGCGUUGUUCGGAACUAUUGGGCGUAAAGAGCACGUAGGUGGAUUUGUAAGUCAGAUGUGAAAGCCUUCUGUUCAACGGGAGAAUUGCAUCUGAAACUACAAACCUUGAGUAUAGGAGGGGAGAAUGGAACUUCUGGUGGAGCGGUGAAAUGCGUAGAUAUCAGAAGGAACGCCGGCGGCGAAAGCGAUUCUCUGGCCUAUUACUGACACUCAGUGUGCGAAAGCUAGGGGAGCAAACGGGAUUAGAUACCCCGGUAGUCCUAGCCGUAAACGAUGGGCACUAAGUAGAGGGGUUUUAA